UACAGAGGGGGCCAGCGUUGUCCGGACUUACUGGGUGUAAAGCGCAUGCCGGUGGCGUGGCAAGUGGGCUGUGAAAGCCGCGGGCUUAACUCGCGGAGGCCAGUCCAGACUGCCAGGCUCGAGGGCUGCAGAGGGUCGGGGAAUUGCCGGUGUAGUGGUGAAAUGCGUAGAGAUCGGCAGGAACACCAAGGCCGAAGGGACCGACCUGGGCAGCAUCUGACACUCUAGUGCGACAGCGUGGGGAGCGAACCGG
rnacentral:rRNA from 1 species